rnacentral:rRNA from 1 species
AACCAGCACCUCAAGUGGUUAGGAUGAUUAUUGGGCCUAAAGCAUCCGUAGCCUGUUUUGUAGUUCCCGGUUAAAUCUAAGCGCUCAACGUAUAGGCUGCCGAAAAUACUGCAGAACUAGGGAGUGGGAGAGGUAGACGGUACUCGGUAGGAAGGGGUAAAAUCCUUUGAUCUAUCGAUGACCACCUGUGGCGAAGGCGGUCUACCAGAACACGUUCGACGGUGAGGGAUGAAAGCUGGGGGAGCAAACCGG